rnacentral:tRNA from 1 species
GGCGGACGUAGCCGAGUGGAUCAAGGCAAU